AUAAUAAUAAUAAUAAUAAUAAUAAUAAUAAUAAUAAUUGUUAUUAUUAUUAUUAUUAUUAUUAUUAUUAUUAUUAUUAUUAUUAUGAUUAUUACUACUACUACUUUUUAUUAUUUACCGUUUUUUAUUUUAUUUUAUUAUUAUUAUUAUUAAAACAUGUAGACCAGGGAUCUCCAAUCCUGCUCCUGGAGAGCUACCGUCCUGCAGACUUCAGUUCCAACCCUGCUCCAACACACCUGUCUGUAAUUAUCAAGUAGCCCUGCCCCUGAACACCUUGAUUAGCUGGUUCAGAUGUGUUUGAUUGGGGUUGGAGCUGAAACAGGGGUCUUUCAGCAAGAAGAUGCAGAGACGGAGUUUGCGUAGAGAAGAAUGUACUGACAAGUGCUCAAUUAAAGAAAAUGGCUUUGAGUGGCAGACUGAAAAGUGACAGGUCUUGGGCUGAGAAGAGCCUUUGAGCACAGAACAGAGGAACUAACAGCAUUAAACCACUGACCUUUCCCAUGAUAGACCACCCUCACAUGGGAAAAAGGAGUUUCUGUCCAUAAAGUCUCAUGAAUUUCAGUAGCUUACAGUGUAAGACUGUCAAAUACUGUCAAGAAGGAAUAGCAAUUCAGAAUCUGUGCUAUGUGGCUUUUCUUUUUUUUUUUCAGUUUAAAUCUUCUGAAAUUAGUUUUAAUUUACAUCUUAAAUUAAAAUCUAAAAUUUCAAUCUGAAUAAAGUGAGAUUUAGUGAUAGAAACAUAAUGCAACGCAAUAAGAACAUCUUUGCUGCUUUUCUGUAUUUUUGUCUGGCUCUUUGGGUAUGCUAGAAUGUUCUGAGCAGCCAUGAGAUGUCAGCGUGACAGACAGCAUCCUGAAACCACCAGCGCCUGUACAUGGCCAGUGGGCCGACGCAUAUGGCCAUCCCUGCACCGUGGGCCAGCCUCCCUGAGGAACUUUGGAAGAGGGUGAGAUUAUCGAGGAAGGUCACGAUAAAUUCGGAUGCUGUUGUGCCGGGAGGGAGGAGGAUUAAGUCUGGGCUGGAAAAGAGCACUGAGGUAGCAGUGGUCAAGCUCCUUCUUUCAUACAGGCUGUGCCUUGACGCCCAUAUGUUACCUGUCAGGCCCGGCCCAGUAAAUGAUGGCUAUGAUGAGAGGGAGAUGUGGACAGUGGUUGUGUUUGUAAAUGGAGUGUUGUUUGGAUGGGGAGGCUGGGGAGUUUGGAGCUGGUUGGCAGAUGUCAAACAGCAGAGGGAAAGAGAGAUAAGCUCACAAGAUGACUUGACGACUUUCUCAGUGGCAGGCCAGUAGAUGGGCACUGUGGAAGUGGACUUUCACCCCUUCGCUGUGUGACACCUGACAGCGGAGUCCUAUCUCAUCUCGCUGCCUGGACACAUCACUUACGUUCAUGCACAAAAUAAAGUGGGGAAAUAGGAAUAUGUUAAUCAGCAGUCAAGGGUCAAAUAGAUAAAGACACUGCCCAUUCCUCAGGGCUCACAGUAUGAAUUUAUGGACUGCUGGUCAAACCUUUAGGUCAUUGUAUAGAAAAUAUAAUGUAUAUAAAAUAUAUAAUUAUUAUAUUUUAUAUAAAAAUUAUACAUAAUAUAUUUGAAUGCAU
rnacentral:lncRNA from 12 species